rnacentral:rRNA from 1 species
UACGGAGGGGGCCAGCGUUGUUCGGAAUUAUUGGGCGUAAAGAGCGUGUAGGCGGUCCGGUAAGUCAGCUGUGAAAGUCAAGGGCUCAACCCUUGAAUGCCGGUUGAUACUGUCGGGCUAGAGUCCGGAAGAGGCGAGUGGAAUUCCCGGUGUAGCGGUGAAAUGCGCAGAUAUCGGGAGGAACACCAAUGGCGAAGGCAGCUCGCUGGGACGGUACUGACGCUGAGACGCGAAAGCGUGGGGAGCAAACAGG